GAUGAACGCUAGCUACAGGCUUAACACAUGCAAGUCGAGGGCAGCAUGAACUUAGCUUGCUAAGUUUGAUGGCGACCGGCGCACGGGUGAGUAACACGUAUCCAACCUUCCGUUUACUCAGGGAUAGCCUUGCGAAAGGAAGUUUAAUACCCGAUGAAUUCGUUUAGUCGCAUGGCUUGAUGAAGAAAGAUUUAUCAGUAAAGGAUGGGGAUGCGUCCCAUUAGCUUGUUGGCGGGGUAACGGCCCACCAAAGCGACGAUGGGUAGGGGUUCUGAGAGGAAGGUCCCCCACAUUGGAACUGAGACACGGUCCAAACUCCUACGGGAGGCAGCAGUGGGGAAUAUUGCACAAUGGGGGAAACCCUGAUGCAGCGACGCCGCGUGGAGGAAGAAGGUCUUCGGAUUGUAAACUCCUGUUGUUGAGGAAGAUAAUGACGGUACUCAACAAGGAAGUGACGGCUAACUACGUG
rnacentral:rRNA from 1 species